UACGUAGGGAGCAAGCGUUGUCCGGAAUCAUUGGGCGUAAAGCGCGCGUAGGCGGCCCUGUAAGUCCGUUGUGAAAGUCAAAGGCUCAACCUUUGAAAGCCGAUGGAUACUGCAGGGCUAGAGUCCGGAAGAGGCGAGUGGAAUUCCUGGUGUAGCGGUGGAAUGCGUAGAUAUCGAGAGGAACACCUGCGGCGAAGGCGGGUUGCUGGGCUGACACUGACGCUGAUGCGCGAAAGCUAGGGGAGCGAACGGG
rnacentral:rRNA from 1 species